UGGGGAAUAUUGCGCAAUGGGCGAAAGCCUGCCGCAGCGACGCCGCGUGAGGGAUGAAGGUUUUCGGAUCGUAAACCUCUGUCAGAAGGGAAGAAACCGCACUGUGCUAAUCAGCAGUGCCUUGACGGUACCUUCAAAGGAAGCACCGGCUAACUCCGUGCCAGCAGCCGCGGUAAUACGGAGGGUGCAAGCGUUAAUCGGAAUUACUGGGCGUAAAGCGCACGUAGGCUGCUUUGUAAGUCAGGGGUGAAAUCCCACGGCUCAACCGUGGAACUGCCUUUGAUACUGCUUAGCUUGAAUCCGGGAGAGGGUGGCGGAAUUCCAGGUGUAGGAGUGAAAUCCGUAGAUAUCUGGAGGAACAUCAGUGGCGAAGGCGGCCACCUGGACCGGUAUUGACGCUGAGGUGCGAAAGCGUGGGGAGCAAACAGG
rnacentral:rRNA from 1 species